GGCCGGGCGCCGGGGGGCGCCCGCCGGCCUUCUCGCCGGCACCGGGGGUGGUCCGCCCGGCGGCACCGGAACCGACGGCCCCGACCCCGGCCCCGGCCCC
rnacentral:tRNA from 1 species